rnacentral:rRNA from 1 species
UACGUAGGGUGCGAGCGUUGUCCGGAAUUAUUGGGCGUAAAGAGCUCGUAGGCGGUCUGUCGCGUCGAAAUGUGAAACCCGGGGCUCAACUCCGGGCUUGCAUUCGAUACGGGCAGGCUAGAGUUCGGUAGGGGAGACUGGAAUUCCUGGUGUAGCGGUGAAAUGCGCAGAUAUCAGGAGGAACACCGGUGCGAAGGCGGCCUGCCUGGCGAUACUGACGUGAGGAAGCGA